UUAGGGUUAGGGUUUGGGUUAGGGUUAGGGUUAGGGUAGGGUUAGGUGACCAGAUUUCUUCAAUGAAAUCCGGGGACAUCCAGAGGGGGGGUGGGGGGUGGGGUGUCAUAGUAGGGCACACCACCCGUAAACUCCUCUCCGUAAAAACUGUUUUUUAGGACUGCGCACAACAUGCUUUCUCAUGCUUCCUACCAACUCGCAGCUACUGUAAUAACUGUUGUUGUUGUCAACACGCAAUAUUUUUGGUCUCGUUCAUGAAACGCUUAAACACUGUGGUGACCGAGCCUUUUCAGUUGUUGGUCCCAGGCUCUGGAAUAAGCUUCCCACCAAAAUGAGACUUAUUGCUGACCUGCGCCUUUUAAAAUCUCGAUUGAAAACGUAUUCAUUUUAAUACCCAGUAGUUUGGUGACAUUUUAUUUUAUUGCAUCGUAUCUUAUUCUUUUUUUAGUAUUUUUAUUGUUUUUAUUUAUUCAUUUUUACUAUGUAUUGUAAAGCACUUUGGUUCACCGAAAGAGUUGUUGUAAAGGCUGUAUAAAUAAAUAACAUUUGCAUUUACAUUUACGAGGACAGCUUUAGCCGGGGACAGGUCAUCGAUUACGGGGACUGUCCUCGGUUAGGGUUAGGUCUAGAGUUAAUGAGAAAGCAUGUGAAAAUGCUCACCUUUGCAGCACGAGUGGGAAAAUUCCAGCAGUUUGGUCUCUGCUUCAGCUUUUUACAGGUUGCCAGGUUAUCCAUUAGAAAAUUGGAGUCAGCAAAUCCACCAUGGUGAAAGUUUUUUUUCAACCAAAAGUAAUUUACUCUUCUCUCCUUUAAAAGUUUCUGUCGGUAACUUCCAGAAUAGAAUAGAAUAGAAUAUUCCUUUAUUGAUCCCCCAUGGGGGAAAUUUUUUUGUCACAGCAGCAUCACAGACAAGACAAAAAGUGCAAAAAUGCAGUUAUAACAAUAAGGGUCCUAAUAUUAAGAACUUAAAUAAAUGCAAUAAUUAAGAAAAAAAUUAGAAAAGGGAGAAGAAAAAAUAAAGCUUUCUACAAUAUACACAAUUUAAAUGUCAUAAGAAAAGUGGUGGUGUAAAAUCAGUUUUGUUACUGUUCAUUGUAAAGUCUUAUUGCAGAGGGGAGGAAUGAUCUGCGGUAGCGCUCCGUCCUGCAGGGUGGGAGUCUCAGUCUGCUGCUGAAGGAGCUGCCUAAAGCCCCCACAGUCUGGUGCAGUGGGUGAGAGGGAUUGUCCAUGAUGGAUACAAGCUAACUUCCAGUUUGUAACGGUUUUGGCGCCCCCUGUGGCCACUUCGCACCUCUUGUUGCUAAAUUUGUUUUGCGCAUGUGUUAAUUCACAAAAAAACUCACCCAGCUAACCUUCAGUGGUGUCAAUCAGUCAAUCUUGGCUAUCAAAAUUGUUCAAAAAGGCCGUUUUGGCCCGUGUCUCCCCUGCCCGUUGUUCGAUGCUGAGCAGGUAGCACAAAGAAAGUUUUUACAGCUUCAGUGCCGAAAACCUGCUGUGGUUGAAAACAACGUGAUGAGAGCAGUGAAUGGGAAUAGAAACAAUGAAGUUUUGAACCAAACAUCUAAAGAAUGAGCUGAAACCGGCUUUAAAGCAUCAUAAAGCCGAGGGGAGCUGCACAUUCAGGUAUUUAUUCCCAUAUUGCAGCUGCAGCUUGAGGGCUCUCCAAUUAGGGAGGCCGAGUUAAAAGAUGGAAUAAACACUAGCUUUUUACGCGAUGCCAUUAUCACACUGCUUUUACAGCAAAGGGAGACGGAAAAUUUUCACACUGAACUCAUGUUCUAUCAGAUUCUUAUCUUCGCAUAUGAUUGAACUUUUUAAAGGCCUGGAGGAACAGACUAGAAGUGUGAGGUUUGAUGUGAUUCACAGGGGAAAAAAAGAGAGAGUUUAGGUGCAUUACGAGAAAUGUAUGAUCAAGUUUCCAAGUAUGUGUCCCUGCUUCUGCUGCCUUCAUUUUGACCCUUUUUCAAGAACUCUUUCUUCAGUGAAUUGUGAAGCUUUGAGGCAGUGCUAAUGUGGACCUGUGAUCAAAUAAUAUCUUUAACUAUCUUCAAAAUUUCUAGUUUCUAAAAAAAAGUUGUGAGAGUUUUGCUAAACUUAGGGCGCUCAUGAUCUGGACUGGUGAUUGGUGCAGCUUUUGAAAACCCUGGUGCUAUAGUUAGUUGGCUAACUAGCCAACAACUAUCCCAAAUAGUACUAUGAGGAAUGUGGUCGUAGUCUUACAUUUAGAGACCCUGGAAGAUCCCCAGAAUCUGAUCUGUUACUGAAAACUCUGUGACUUGCCAAGACAGGUCUUUGGAUGUAAGAGGGUGUCUUAUGUUACUCUUUAAAGUUUUGGGGUUAGGGUUAACCCUAAAGUCGACUUCUGUGCAGAAAGAUAAGUUUUGAUUUUGGAUACACUUUCCUUUUUUAAAUUGUAGGCUUUUUCAAAAACUCACUUGUUUGAUCAUGAAAGUAGGAGUGAAAGUUUUAGGGUGUGUGAGUUACAGGGUUUUUGUGGUGAUUAAUUGUAACCGAUGAACAAAAAGUACAAAAGAAAUUUGUUUCUCGAAGAAUAACGUACAAUCCCUAACAUUUCAUCGAACUAAUUACCCAAUUAAAAAGCCAUUAUUUAACGGAACUGUAUUUUUCCCUAAUAUCUAGCGUCGCAGGUUUGGUUAGAGCAAAUCCAAACAGGUUGAAUCUUUUCCCCCCAUGUCUCAAGGCCAGGAUGCGUCAGGAGUCUGCCUGCGAGCCGUUUGACACUCUCCCAGUCAAUAACUCAUCAGGCUGUGGCACCGAGGGGUCAGACAGGUUCCUCUGCACAUUUCAGAUUCUAUCUCAAAGGAGCACAGGGACAUUAACCCAGAGUCAAACUGUCAUAAAACACCCUCUCUUUUCUAGGGGGGUGAGGGGUGAGAAAGAUGCUGUCAGAUAGUGUCUUGCAGUUUCCUCGCUGAUAGCUCAGACAGAAUGACAUGGAAACAGUUAAAUUGUUUGAUAGUGAGAAAGUUUUGUAUUCGAUGAUCGCCACACUGCUGGUUUCAGAUUGAGAAAAACACAGCUGGUAGAGAGAUUUCUGGGUGUAACCAGUGCUAAAUCAAUGUCUUUUCUGCCUUGGACAGUUAGAACAGUUAAAGGGAGUGUUCAGGUGCUGAGGGUGUAUCUACAACUGAGUAAUUUAGAUUUUGGGGUUUGGUUGAAAAACACAGAGUAGAUAACACUUUGUGGUUGACAAAGAAAACGAGAUCCGGUGUGUACCGACCGUUUGGCACGCGCUGCAUUCAGAUUCUGAUGUGUCCCUCUUUCACUCUUACCCUGCAGACAGGAAUCGGUGUUUGUAGUGUGGUUUUGUCAGCUAACCAGGUGGGUCCACCAUGCAAAAUAUUCAGCUUGUCAUGUGUGAAGUGUACUACCUCAACGGAGAGAGUGGUUUGCAGAGCUACUUGUCGGUUUCCUCUCCAACUUUCAGCAGUUUCUUUUGUGGCUAUGUGUAAUCCACUGAUGUAAACUGAUUUAAAGCCGUUUACAGUUGUAGUCAUUUCUUCAGAUCUAAUCCUUUUGUGUUUUAUAACAGUCGCAGAAGUGAAAAUGCCCACACAGUAUAGAAAAUAGAACGCUUCAAAAACUCCCCUUGAGAAGUAGGGCGAGUCAAAUUACUCCUGAACCCACAUACCUAAUUGAUUUAUUUACUACACCUGGCUUCAAUAAAUGGCACCAAAGCGCAGGUUACUGGUCUAUUUAACACUUCAACUGAGGUAUAAUUAACCUGCUGUAAUAGCUCAGGGGCCUCACCUGACUGGUUAACUUCAAACUCCCUCCAGCUUGUCCCCUCUGCUCUUUAAUGACCUGUAUCUCUCGCAUCAUCUGUGCAUCUUCUCUUGCUUCCUGAAUGGGGCCCACCAUUGAUCAGUGUGUAAUUUACGAGCUUUCAGUGAGUGGAAAUAGACGGGGGCUGGUUCUUGAGAGAUGAAAUAGGAGAUAGAGAACUUCAAAAAUAGUCUGAGAUGGAAAUGACGAUUAUUACAGGCACAUUUGAUUCAGAACGUAAUGAAUAUUUGUCUCCGAAGUCACGGCGGUUUCAACUCUUUUACUCGGUCGCUGAGGUUAUUAGCACAAGGAAGCACUGCUGACGUAACAACACUGCCGCUUUGAAUGACUGAGCCUCUUAUUCAUCAACCAACUGUUCCCAAAAUAUGCUUCAUCUUGUCCUUCCACAUUAUAUAGUGACUGUAACACACUGCAUUCACACGCACACACACACACACACACACACACUCAGCAACAGCUGUCAGAGCGGGGAAAGCCGAAACAGAGCAACUCUCCCUCCUCAACAUCCCAGCCUGCAACCGCAUCUUGCCGGCCUCUUUAAGAGGUCAAAGGUCAAAGUGGCAGCCUCUCUGAGUUGACCCUGAGUCCUGCGACCUCUGGAGUGCUGCAGGUCGCUACCCUGUCAACCUUGACUGACCACUUAAAAAACUCACCUGAGCCCUCCCUUCGGCGCUUAUCAGGCCCAUCUCGUCUGUCAGAACCUGUUAGUCACAUGACCCGCUGCCUGCGACGUCCUUUGAGCCGCUGACACUAACCCCUCAGAUAAUGACUCCUGCCUCGAUUAAUUCUCAGCUUGUUUGUGUCUC